UGAGGAAUAUUGGGCAAUGCCCGCAAGGGUGACCCAGCAACGCCGCGUGGAGGAUGAAUGUCGUAAGAUUGUAAACUCCUGUUAGAGGGGAAGAAUAGUACCGGUUGGACCGGUAUAUGACUGUACCCUCAGAGAAAGCCCCGGCUAACUACGUGCCAGCAGCCGCGGUAAUACGUAGGGGGCAAGCGUUGUCCGGAUUUACUGGGUGUAAAGGGCGCGCAGGCGGGAUAAAAAGUCAGUGGUGAAAUCCUACAGCUUAACUGUAGAACUGCCUUAUGUACUUGUAUUCUUGAGUUCGGGAGAGUGAGACGGAAUUCCAGGUGUAGUGGUGAAAUACGUAGAUAUCUAGUAGAACACCAGUUGCGAAGGCGGUCUCUUGGUCCGACACUGACGCUGAGGCGCGAAAGCGUGGGG
rnacentral:rRNA from 1 species